rnacentral:rRNA from 1 species
UACGGAGGGUGCAAGCGUUUUCCGGAUUCACUGGGUUUAAAGGGUGCGUAGGAGGGCAGGUAAGUCAGUGGUGAAAUCUUCGAGCUUAACUCGGAAACUGCCGUUGAUACUAUCUGUCUUGAAUACCGUGGAGGUGAGCGGAAUAUGUCAUGUAGCGGUGAAAUGCUUAGAUAUGACAUAGAACACCAAUUGCGAAGGCAGCUCGCUACACGAAUAUUGACUCUGAGGCACGAAAGCGUGGGGAUCAAACAGG